rnacentral:tRNA from 1 species
UCGGAUAUGGUGUAAAGGUAACAUAUCCGCCUCUCAUCGUAGGGUGCGCGGUUGCUCGGGGUUCGAUUCCCCGUAUCCGAA